ACGGUCAUAUCACGUUGACAUACCGGUUCCCGUACGAUCACCGAAGUUACGCAACCUCGAUGUUGGUCAGUAACAAGAUGGGUGACCACUUGGGAAUACCAAGUGCUGUAAG